UUUGUUUAGGAGAUAGCUAGAGUUAUUUCAUUGUGUCAGUCAUUGAGGAUACGAUACUUGAUUGCUACAUAUAUGCUACAGUUACACCGUGUUAGUUGCGGUUUAGUUGCUAAAUAAAUUAGUGACCAACUUUUUGGCGCCGUUGCCGGGGACUGAUUAGAAGUUUCAUUAAUAUUUCCGAUAGGGCAUAAUAUUAAUUCAGGUUUUUCUUGGUUUUUUUUAAAAAAAUUUUUUUGUUCCUGAUUUUAAGUGGUGAUUCUGUAGGUUGUGCAUGAUCACACGAUCUCAAGGUAAUCCUUUCUUUGAGUUUGAUCCUGAAAUCGAAGCUACCUAUCGCAAUAUUAAGAAUCAGAAGAAGCAAGAGGAGUUGGAUAGGAUGGCUACCGAGGAAUAAGUGCAAUCACUGCAGGCACAGUUGCAUCAGUUGCUGGCUGAAAAGGCUGCUCUAGAGGCUCAGAAACAGCCUCCGA
rnacentral:lncRNA from 1 species